rnacentral:rRNA from 1 species
UACGUAGGGUGCGAGCGUUGUCCGGAAUUACUGGGCGUAAAGAGUUCGUAGGCGGUUUGUCGCGUCGUUUGUGAAAACCCGGGGCUCAACUUCGGGCUUGCAGGCGAUACGGGCAGACUUGAGUGUUUCAGGGGAGACUGGAAUUCCUGGUGUAGCGGUGAAAUGCGCAGAUAUCAGGAGGAACACCGGUGGCGAAGGCGGGUCUCUGGGCCGAUACUGACGCUGAGGAGCGAAGCAUGGGUAGCGAACAGG